rnacentral:rRNA from 1 species
CUACGUAGGGGGCGAGCGUUGUCCGGAUUUACUGGGCGUAAAGGGUGAGUAGGCGGUUGUAUAUGUCAGGUGUAAAAGGCUAUGGCUUAACCAUAGUUCGCACUUGAAACUGUAUAACUUGAGUGCAGGAGAGGUAAGCGGAAUUCCUAGUGUAGCGGUGAAAUGCGUAGAUAUUAGGAGGAACACCAGUGGCGAAGGCGGCUUACUGGACUGUAACUGACGCUGAGUCACGAAAGCGUGGGUAGCAAACAGGAUUAGAUACCCUGGUAGUCCACGCUGUAAACGAUGAGUGCUAGGUGUUGGGUAGCGAUACUCAGUGCCGUAGUAAACACAAUAAGCACUCCGCCUGGGGAGUACGUACGCAAGUAUGAAACUCAAAGGAAUUGACGGGG